GAUGAAGAACGUAGCGAAAUGCGAUAAGUAAUGUGAAUUGCAGAAUUCAGUGAAUCAUCGAAUCUUUGAACGCAAAUUGCGCCCCUUGGUAUUCCGAGGGGCAUGCCUGUUCGAGCGUCAUUAUAACCCCUCAAGCUCAGCUUGGUAUUGGGGCCUGCCAUCCUGGCAGCCAUUAAAAUCAGUGGCGGUGCCAUCCGGCUCUAAGCGUAGUAACUCCUCUCGCUAUGGAGUCCUGGUGGAUGCUUGCCAUUAAUCUUUUAACUUCUAUGGUUGACCUCGGAUCAGGUAGGGAUACCCGCUGAACUUAAGCAUAUCAAUAAGCGGAGGA
rnacentral:misc_RNA from 1 species